GAUGGCCCAAGAGAGAUCUAAAUUUUAGAAAUCAAGAAAAAAUCUUUCUUUUUUUUUCUGAUAUUGGAAUUUUAAAAAUCUAAACUUUAAAAUCUUUCUUUUUUAUCAUCUCUUCUUCCACUUCUUCGAUUUUCUUCCUCUGACACCCUCCAACUCUUCUGAUGAUAGCACUAACGAUGUUGCCACCAACCACCACUGCUAAUAAUGGCAACA
rnacentral:lncRNA from 1 species